rnacentral:rRNA from 1 species
AUACGGAGGAUCCAAGCGUUAUCCGGAUUUAUUGGGUUUAAAGGGAGCGUAGGUUGACAUAUAAGUCAGCUGUGAAAGUUUACGGCUCAACCGUGAAAUUGCAGUUGAUACUGUAUGUCUUGAGUGUACAAGAGGCGGGCGGAAUUCGUGGUGUAGCGGUGAAAUGCUUAGAUAUCACGAAGAACUCCAAUUGCGAAGGCAGCUCACUGGGGUACAACUGACACUGAGGCUCGAAAGUGUGGGUAUCAAACAGGAUUAGAUACCCUGGUAGUCCACACGGUAAACGAUGAAUACUCGCUGCUUGCGAUAUACAGUAAGCGGCCAAGCGAAAGCAUUAAGUAUUCCACCUGGGGAGUACGCCGGCAACGGUGAAACUCAAAUGAAUUGACGGGG